rnacentral:lncRNA from 1 species
UGGGUAUUUUUUAUACAAUUCUUUCUAAUUUCGUUUUUUGUUUUUUUGACGUUUUCCAUAGUAAAACUGAUCAGUGGAAACAGGCAAAGUAGAAAUCAAUUCAGCCCGGUUCUCAUAGAUGGAAAGAUGUGGAAAAAGUUACCGCAAAGCAGACUGUCUUGCUGUGCUUGUCAUUGUGCACAGGGCAAUGCCGGCACAUCUGACGUCAGCGAUCACACCUCUCAUGAUGUGACCUCGGUGGAAGGAAGGGCUGCUGCCAUUCAAAUGUUGAAGGAGGAGAAACUGGCUUUUGUUUUGCUUCCUGCCGCCAGGCCAAACAUGUGACUAAGGCUCUCAGAUAAGGAUGACCUUCUAAGAAGCCUUCUCUGGUAGCCUGAGUUGUACCAGUGGGCUACUCACUAGUGGCAAGUUGCUUAAUUUCUCUGAGCCUUAGGAGUCUGCAUUGCUGAAAUGAUUAUCUACCUUGCAGGUCCGUCGUGGAGAUUAAGUGAGAUGAUGCUUGUAAAGUUACCUGGCCCAUAACAGGUACUCAACAAAUGGCAAUAAUUGUGAUGUGCUUCGUCCCCUGCAGGGGCUACAGAGCAGGUGAAUGAGAGAGUCCAUCCUGCAAGAAACUGCAGACCAGCCCGUGACUACCUGCUUUUGGCUUCACUUGCCCUGUAGUGAGCUGAAGCAGAUUUUCACAAAUGUGAAUGGAAAAUUUCUAGAUGUUUUUAGAUCCUGACACCAUUAUGUCAUCCAAGUCCUCAGUUAGCAUUUGAAUAGCUCAUCCUGAAGGCCCAGAGGGCAUCAGCACAGAGCCUUUCCAGAUACAACUUUUUUAUACUUCAU